GACGAACGCUGGCGGCGUGCUUAACACAUGCGAGUCGAACGGAAAGGUCCUGCUUUUGUGGGGUGCUCGAGUGGCGAACGGGUGAGUAACACGUGAGUAACCUGCCCUUGACUUUGGGAUAACUUCAGGAAACUGGGGCUAAUACCGGAUAGGAGCUCCUGCUGCAUGGUGGGGGUUGGAAAGUUUCGGCGGUUGGGGAUGGACUCGCGGCUUAUCAGCUUGUUGGUGGGGUAGUGGCUUACCAAGGCUUUGACGGGUAGCCGGCCUGAGAGGGUGACCGGCCACAUUGGGACUGAGAUACGGCCCAGACUCCUACGGGAGGCAGCAGUGGGGAAUAUUGCACAAUGGGCGGAAGCCUGAUGCAGCAACGCCGCGUGCGGGAUGACGGCCUUCGGGUUGUAAACCGCUUUCGCCUGUGACGAAGCGUGAGUGACGGUAAUGGGUAAAGAAGCACCGGCUAACUACGUG
rnacentral:rRNA from 1 species